rnacentral:tRNA from 1 species
GGGGAUUUGGCUCAGUGGUAGAGCGCUUGCCUAGUAAGGGCAAGGCUCUGGGUUCGGUCCCCAGCUCCG